UGCGUAGGCGGCCUAUUAAGUUGGAUGUGAAAUACCCGGGCUUAACUUGGGGGGUGCAUCCGAUACUGGCAGGCUAGAGUGCAGGAGAGGAAAGCGGAAUUCCUAGUGUAGCGGUGAAAUGCGUAGAUAUUAGGAGGAACACCAGUGGCGAAGGCGGCUUUCUGGACUGUAACUGACGCUGAGGCACGAAAGCGUGGGGAGCAAACA
rnacentral:rRNA from 1 species